AGUAUUUAAGCUAUGAUGAGAAGAGGGAGUGUCAGUCAGAUGUCCCAUCUGAAGGGAUGAACCUUUGAACAAUGAGAGAAUAGACCAGACGUUCUUGAGUUAGUUUAAUUUGUCAGACUGGUGCUACUUCAUUCUCGAUCCUGCAGAAUAUCUACACACUCAUCUUCAACUCCAAGGGACAAGCAGGUUUAUCAUGUCUUCAAUCUCUUCUUAUUUCCGACCCGCCCUGACAGUGAUUACACUGCUGGCUGGACUCACAGUCCUCUUUUUAAUGUACUAUAAUUCUUUUCCAUCUCCAAAAUGUCAUCCUCCCCCGUCUCAUGUACAGAAGCCGCACACAGACAAGCCUGUGGUGCUGCUGUGGUUCUGGCCUGAAAACAAAAUGUUUGAUUUUAAAGACUGUAAGACGCUUUUUGAUAUUGACAGCUGCCACCUCACAGACGAUAGAUCUUUAUACUCCAAGGCUCAUGGAGUUUUGUUAUUUCACAGAGCGAUCCAGGAUGACCUCUCCAACCUCCCCACCUCACAUAGGGAGAAAUUUCAGAGGUGGAUCUGGUUUAACACAGACUCGCCAACCAACACGCGCAGGAUAGAAGGCAUCAAAAACCUUUUUAAUUUAACCAUGAGCUACAGGAAGGACGCGGAUAUCCACCUUCGCUGGCGAUUGACUCUCAGGAAGAAAACAGAUGAAGAUUUUGUGCUACCCAAGAAGGAACGACUGCUUUGUUGGAUUGUGGAUAACCUUGACCUCAACACAGCAGGUGAGGGAUACAAAUACUACAAACAGCUUUUAAAACACAUCAAGGUGGAAAUAUAUGACCGCUCCUCUGACGAGUUCUGGAAGGAUGAGAACUAUUUCCAGAUCAUCAGCAGCUGCAAAUUCUACCUUUCUUUUGAGAAUUCAAUUCACAAAGAUUACAUCACAGAAAAGUUCAAUGGACCUCUUGCGGCAGGCACUGUGCCAAUAGUUUUGGGACCACCAAGAAUUAACUAUGAAGAUUUCGCCCCAGGUAAUUCCUUUAUACAUGUAAAGGACUUCCCUGAUGCCGCGUCACUCGCUGAGUUUCUCUUGAAGCUGGAUCAGAAUAACACGGCUUAUAUGAGCUACUUUAACUGGCGCUCAUUCUAUAUUGCCAGACGUCAUCUUACUGAGCAGAAUCAUGAGUUUGCAUACGCCAUCUGCCAGGCCUGUUAUUACAUUGGUCUAGAAAUGAACAGCAAGUUCCGAGUUGUACCUGAUCUGUACAAGUGGUUCUUACUGUCAUAGUGUCAUGGAUCUACUGUUCCUCUGAACUGGUUAAAGAGAAUCAUGUGAUGUUAUGUAAAUACUCUUGUAUUGACUGGAAAGAAAAAACAAUGAAUGGCGUAUGUAUUCAUUUUACGUUUUUGGUGAUGUGAUAUCUGAUUUGAAAACACAAGCUGAUGUCAUUUAAGUUAGUUUGUUUUUCCCUUAUACAUUGUUUUGGUGUUUCACAGUCUCCAUUAAACAUCAGGAUGUCUUAUUUAAUGUGAUUACGGGCAUGAUGAUAAAUACUUAUGGUACAAUAUGUCCAUGUUAAUAAAAAAAACAAAAGA